rnacentral:rRNA from 1 species
GACGAACGCUGGCGGCGUGCUUAACACAUGCAAGUCGAACGGAAAGGCCCUGCUUUUGUGGGGUGCUCGAGUGGCGAACGGGUGAGUAACACGUGAGUAACCUGCCCUUGACUUUGGGAUAACUUCAGGAAACUGGGGCUAAUACCGGAUAGGAGCUCCUGCUGCAUGGUGGGGGUUGGAAAGUUUCGGCGGUUGGGGAUGGACUCGCGGUUUAUCAGCUUGUUGGUGGGGUAGUGGCUUACCAAGGCUUUGACGGGUAGCCGGCCUGAGAGGGUGACCGGCCACAUUGGGACUGAGAUACGGACCAGACUCCUACGGGAGGCAGAAGUGGGGAAUAUUGCACAAUGGGCGGAAGCCUGAUGCAGCAACGCCGCGUGCGGGAUGACGGCCUUCGGGUUGUAAACCGCUUUCGCCUGUGACGAAGCGUGAGUGACGGUAAUGGGUAAAGAAGCACCGGCUAACUACGUG